rnacentral:rRNA from 1 species
CCUACGGGUGGCAGCAGUGAGGAAUAUUGGUCAAUGGCCGAAAGUCUGAACCAGCCAAGUCGCGUGAAGGAUGACUGCCCUAUGGGUUGUAAACUUCUUUUAUAGAGGAAUAAAACGAGGCACGUGUGCCUUUUUGCAUGUACUUUAUGAAUAAGGAUCGGCUAACUCCGUGCCAGCAGCCGCGGUAAUACGGAGGAUCCGAGCGUUAUCCGGAUUUAUUGGGUUUAAAGGGAGCGUAGAUGGGUUGUUAAGUCAGUUGUGAAAGUUUGCGGCUCAACCGUAAAAUUGCCAUUGAUACUGGCAGUCUUGAGUACAGUUGAGGUAAGCGGAAUGCGUGGUGUAGCGGUGAAAUGCUUAGAUAUCACGAAGAACCCCGAUUGCGAAGGCAGCUUACUAAGCCGUGACUGACACUGAUGCUCGAAAGCGUGGGUAUCAAACAGGAUUAGAUACCCGGGUAGUC